rnacentral:lncRNA from 1 species
CUUAUUCAGUCAUAGAUUAAAAUAUAAACAUUUCCCAUAUUUGUUCUCCAGUAAUUAUGUACAAGAAAAGUUUAUAUUAUUUUCCAUUGUUCUUUUCAUCAUCAUUAAUCGCGAAUCGCAAAUAAGAAUUUCGGUGUAAGCGUAGGCGUGGUGAGUGAGCGAGCGGGCUGCCAAAUGACAUGUUCUCGUACAUACAAAAGUGAAGUGAUUAAUCAUAUCAGCGUAUCCUGGAAGAGGAGGAAGGAGAGACAAGGAUAGAGAAGAAAAAUCCCAACCUCGACACUGCGAGAAGUGAUAAUUCAUCUCACGAGGACCUGCGACAAUCUUUUACCGAAAUGUUCAUCGCGACUAAUAACAUAUUUCAGGUGCGAUAAAUUGGGAAUGCGGGGAACAAGCGUUUAGCCCAGGAUUCACGUUCGAUAUCCGUUACCCGGGAUGCACGCAACGAGAAUUGCGGCUCCGGUGUUAAAGGCAACGGUAUAAAUGGCGACCGGCGUGAUUCCUUCGGGUAAACGUGAGAAAAUUAACGAUCCAAGUACGCAAUUGCCGGGUUAACGAACCGCAUCUAUGUGGAAUAAAUUUAUGCAUAGAUUAGUAUUUACCAUUUUGAAAUCUCACGGAAUCCAAGAAGCCAAAUAAAUAAGCACUUUUCACCACUUUCACGGGUUCUCGAUUGAGUGGAACUGGAUAGCUCUGUCCGGUUGGGGGUCGCGCUCAAACGGGAAGGGAGUUUCCUUUCCCUGUGUAUCAAUGCGCGUGACGACUCCUGAUUGGCUGUUGAGACGAUUCCAAUUCGGCUGAUAGCUGUCGUUAUUUUUUUCGCUCAUUUUCAACCGGUCGAAUGAUUUACGUCCAGGGGAUUUAUGCUUGUGGAUUAUAUCGAUAACGCGUUAUUUUCGUGUCUCAUUUGGCGGAACGGUUGAAAUUAUUUACGUAUAUUGUGCCUCAUGUACACGCCGGUAGGACUACUUUUCGCGGCGCAGUGGCGUAGCACGGUUACGUCAGUAGUUUAUAGAAUCACUAUUUUUUAGUCGCAGUAUCCAUCCGCGAACUCACUCGUGUUUUGAUUACGAUCAAACUUUAACUUAGGGAUGAUGCCACUGUAUCUUGGUCGCCAAAAGCGGCCCUGAAACCAGGUGGAAUAAAUUUUUGCCAAUAGUUGUUAAAUAGUCAUCGAUAUGAUGUGUCAUUUUGUUUGGCCAAUCAGAGCCAUCGAAAUGGGGAAAUUACCUUAUAUGGGCAGCGGUGUGCAGCUGACCCUCGUGCCGCGUGCGCACGACCCUUCUCAUCGAACUGUCAAUUUUCAAAGCUUUGUUUGUUUCAAAAAUCACUAAUUCACUGUCAGCUCUAUUCGAUUAGUCAAGAAUUAUAAUUGAUUCAUUGAAAAUUGUAUUUGAUUCAAUUCUCUGAUUUACUUACGCCAGAAUUUCAUUAACGAACAUUCAUACAAAAAAAAAGUGCAAUUGCCCAGACAAGAUGCGAUGAUGCAAACGAUACUUGCUAUAAACUAAUUUCGGCUGCUUUUCACUAUUUGAAAGUUACUUUUUGGCACGAUUGAAAUCUUGAUUUUACAAACUUUCAAAUAUCAAUGCGUUUGUGUUUGAUCUCUACAUCUAAGUAUUGGAAUUAAGGAUGAUGUUUGGCAGCUGAUCUAAAAACCUUUUUAUCAAGCAACCUUUCCUUAAAUUUGUCGUGUAAAUAAAUGAAUUAUAUUGUAGCUAUCAGGGCUUGCAAAAAAUUUUACAUUUGUAUUGAAUGUUAGAAUACUAUUUAAAAUAAUUAUAUUCGCAGCUCGCCUGUAGCUUGGUCAUCGUGGGUGUUACAAAUUUGUAUUGAAAGAGUGUUAUUGAGAUUGGGAGUAACAAUUUUUAAUGAUAGUAUUUUUUUUUUCUUCACAUACACUGAUUGCCGAAUGAGAUAAGAAUUUUGUAAUUGAUUUUCUUUCGUGCUACAUAAUUUAUUUCUAAGAAAUGUUUGAUUAUUAGAUGUGUGUUUGCAAUUCCAAAUUGCAGAAUAAUUUGAUCACAAUGUGCGAAUUUACUUUUUUCAUUUUAAAUGGCUAUGGGAGACGUAUGACACAUAAGAAACGAAACUCAAAUUGAUUAAACUUAAAACAAUCAACAAACUUCUUGGAGGUUGCUUUUGGAAAUAGCACUUUAUUUAAAAAACAAUGGCGGUACACAUUGUUCAUCUGCUGUGGUCUUCAAAUCA